rnacentral:miRNA from 1 species
AGAGGAGGGGACAGGCAUCUGGACAGAGGUUCUGCCCUCAGCACCCACCUGCCUGUCCUCCAG